GAAAAGGGCGGCGCAAUAGCGGCGGUAAUAGGUGGGGGGGCAGCUGUGGAAGGCAUUAUGGGGCGGAAAGCGCGCGAAGGCGGUCCGGUAAGUCUGAUGUGAAAGGCCACGGAUCAACCGUGGAGGGUCAUUGGAAACUGGGGGACUGGAGUGCAGAAGAGGAAAGCGGAAUUCCACGUGUAGCGGUGAAAUGCGUAGAGAUGUGGAGGAACACCAGUGGCGAAGGCGGCUUUCUGGUCUGUAACUGACGCUGAGGCGCGAAAGCGUGGGGAGCAAACAGGAUUAGAUACCCGGGUAGUC
rnacentral:rRNA from 1 species